rnacentral:rRNA from 1 species
CUAAAGCCGUGCCAGAAGACGGAGGAAUACGGGGGAUCAAGGCGUUAUCCGGAAAUACUGGGGGUAAAGAGGUGCGUAGGUGGCAUGGUGAGUUGACAGUGAAAGCGUACGGAUCAACCGCAUAAACAUUGUCAAAACUGCCAAGCUUGAGGACAAGAGAGGUACCUGGAAUUCCUAGUGUAGGAGUGAAAUCCGUAGAUAUUAGGAGGAACACCGAUGGCGUAGGCAGGGUACUGGCUUGUUCCUGACACUAAGGCACGAAAGCGUGGGGAGCAAACGGGAUUAGAUACCCCAGUAGUC